rnacentral:tmRNA from 1 species
CCCCUUUCCGAUCAAGAUCGGAAUGCGUAUAUUGAUUUCGCCGUCCUACGGGGCGGCUAUGGCGAUAAACGAACUCCGUAAUAAACCUAUCGGACCCGGGGGCGGUACCCGGCGCCUCCACCCGAGGCCAUGAAGCAAAACUGCGUGGCCUGGGGCGGGGGCGAAAUAGGAUCGACGAGGGCGUAAAGGGUGCUUUUUCGCUCGGCAUGAUACCGCCGUUAUCGGGUCAAACCUUAUAGUUGCCAAUGACAACUAUGCUCCGGUGGCCGUCGCUGCGUAAUGCAGCGCCUGUACUGGGAUCAAAGCCCUAAGGGUUCGCACCUUUAGGCGGGGCUCGGAGGCGCCUGGCAACAGAAGCCUCCACU